AUCAUGAAAUGGAUAUUGAAUUUCGUCAAAUGCUUCUGCCUCUGUUGAGAAGAUCAUGUGGCUUUUCUUCCCCGUUCUGUUGAUGUGGUGAGUUACACUAGGUCUUGAGUGUUGACCAGACUUCCACCUACAGGGCCCCUUCCAGUCCCAGGCCUCAUGCUGUCUCUGAUUGAAAGUCAGUCUCAUUCUUAUCCUAUUCUUCCGUGUGCAAUUUCCUUUCUUUUUCUGGCUGCUUUUAAGAUUUUCUCUUCACCACUUGCUUUCAGCAAUUUGAUUGUGAUGUGCAUUGGUUAUCAUUUUUUUUUGUGCUUUAUCCUCCUUGGGAAUCAUUGAAAUUCUUGGAUCUGUGGGUUUACAGCUUUCAAAGAAAAAAAAAACUGGGGAAAAUUUCAACCAGUAUUUCUAAAAUUCUCCUCCCUCCUUUACUCUGGAACUUAAAUUGUGUGUCAGACCACAUGACAUUAUCCCCAUAAGGCUCUGCUCACUUUUUUCAGUCUUUUUUUCCUCUCUGUGAUCACUGCAUAGUUUCUUUUGCUAGUCUAGUGUUCGGUGAUCUUUUCUUCUGCAGUUUCUAAUCUGCUGUUUAAUCCCCUCCAGUGACUUAUAAAAACAAGCUUUAAAUUUUAGAAAGUUAGAUUUACAGAAAAGCUAGACAGUACAUAGUUCCCACACAUCCCACGCCCAGUUUCCCUAUUAUUAACACCCUGCAUUAGUGCAUAUGCCACAAGUAACGAAUCAAUAUACUGAUAGUUUAUUUUUAACCAAAGUCCCCAUUUUGUUCAGAUUUCCUUAGUUUUUACCUAAUGUCUUUCUAUUCCAGGACAUCAUCCGAGACAUUACAUUCUCGUCUUCUUACGUCAUUCCUGACAGUCUCAGACUUUCCUGGUUUCUGAUGCCCUUGACAGUUCUGAGGAGGACUAGGCUGGUAUUGUGUAGAAUGUUGCUCAACUUGGAUUCGUCGGAUGUUUUUUCCCUCAUGAUGAGUUGGGGUUACAUAAGUUUUUGGAGAGGAAGACCACAGAGGUGGCUUGCCCUGCCCAUCACAGCACGUCAGGGCACACCCGUCAACGUGACUCAUCACUGCUGGCGGAGGCCUGUCUGUCAGGCAUCUCCACUGUACAGUCUCUCCCCUCACCCGCUCCUGUACUCCUCAGAAGGAAGUCUGUGUGCAGCCAACACUGAAGGGUGGGAAUUAUGUGUUACCUCUUUGAAGGGAGUCAACAGAAAUAAUUUGGAAUUCUUCUGCAUGGGACACUUGUUCCAGAGAUAUUUUGUUCAAUUUCCUUCCUUUUUAUAUCUUCCAUUUCUCUGUCUUAAUGUUUUCUCUCUACUUCUUUGAGCACACAGAGCAUUUUAAUAACUCUUUUAAUGUCCUUGCUCGCCACUUCCAUCACACCUGGAUCUGUUACUAUGACUUUUCUCUUCUUGGUUACAGGUCACAUUCUCAUGCCAAGUGGAUCAUCUAUUAGUUUUGACUAGAUCCUGGACACGAAGAACUCUACUACAUUGUGUCUGAGUUUAGCUGUCCUCCUUUCAGGAGUGCUGCACCCUCAGUCCUGCAGGAAAGGGUCAGCCAGAUCCUUUCAAGGCUUGUUUUUAAGCUCGUCUACACCGCAUUUGGGUAGCCUUUUUCUCUGGGGCUAAUCCAGCCCCACGUUCAAGCCGUGGCUGUUCUGAGGUCCGUGAAGGGCUCUGUAUGUUAGAGUGGUCUCUCCGCUCUGGCUGCGAGGAAUCGAUGACUCGGCCAGCUCUAGGUGAGCCUGGAGGUCGCGCACCACACGGCUCCUCAGUGGCUGCCCCUUCCCUGGAAGUUCUCGGGCGGCUUCCCAGGCUCCCCACACGGACGGGCGAAGCAGCACUCGACCAAGAUCCGCAGGGGCUCACGUGCGGCUCCUCCUCUCUGGUACCAGGCCUUGCAAAUUCUGGCUGUCUCAGCUUCUCCGAAGGCCAGGCUCUCGGAGUCUGAACGCUGCCUCCAGAUAGAAAGCCUAGGCACCUGGAGGGCUCACCUGUCCCUCCUGUUCAACAAUCCUGAACACUGUUGGUGGGUUGAGUCCAUGUUGAAUGUGUCCUGCCAGCCUGACCUUAAGGUCUGUUAGAAGUCUGACAGGGCCUUCUGGUGAGUCCAUCGCAGAACCCGAUGUCUCCUCCUCCUCUGCUGACCACGUGCAAUUCUUGCAGGAAGUCUUGGCUUACCCUUAGAUAUAACGGAAACCAGUGAUGGGAAAUACGGCAGGACCGGGGAGAAGAUGUUGCCCAGCUGCUGGCUGGCGAGCAAUGCCCUUGCCCCUGAGAUGCAGUUCUUAGUAAAUAUCAAGUCUUACUGUAAAUUCAGAGACUGUGGCCCUAUUUCCUACACAACUGUGAACAACCUGAAACGUAUACAAAGUUUUGCACGGUCGCAGCACAGGCCCCAGGACCAAAGCAUCCCCGCUCAUGUCCAGCCGCUGGCCCCAUGCUCGGGUCUCCAGGCCCAGCUGAACAUCUGCACACGGGUGACUGCUGACUCAGUAACUGCCGGGGCCUCCCAGUGGCAGGAGACUGUGGGGCAGCUGCCAGCACCUCCAGGAUCGGGAAGCAUUCAGGGAGCCGGCCUCCCUCCUUCCACGGCCUGCGAGGCCAGCCUCUGCUAGCCCUGCAGAUCUCAAGGAAACCCUGCAGCCAAAGGUGCAGGCUCUGGGGUCUUUAGCCCGGCGCCUGUGAUAUCUGAUGGGAGCUGACCGCUCAUUCCAGGGUGGGUCCUGUGGACCCUGCUGACCCCUUCCUGGUCCUUUAAUAAAGAAUUCUGAGCACA